UACGACGGGGGCUAGCGUUGCUCGGAAUGACUGGGCGUAAAGGGCGCGUAGGCGGAUUGUACAGUCAGGCGUGAAAUUCCCGGGCUCAACCUGGGGGCUGCGCUUGAGACGUGCGAUCUUGAGUGGGGAAGAGGGUCGUGGAAUUCCCAGUGUAGAGGUGAAAUUCGUAGAUAUUGGGAAGAACACCGGUGGCGAAGGCGGCGACCUGGUCCUUGACUGACGCUGAGGCGCGAAAGCGUGGGGAGCAAACAGG
rnacentral:rRNA from 1 species